GCGGCGGCCGGAGCUGGAGGGGGAGGAGGGGAGGAACCUGAUCCUCGGUAGCAAAGGGCUGGAGGCAAACACCGAGCUCCCCCUGAGCCGCCCGGGAGCGGGGAGGGCUCUGCUACCCCGAGGGGCCCUCCCUGCGGGGCAGAGGUGAGAAAGCAGCUGUCACAGACGCAUGACUGAAGCUGAGUUCGGCGUGCACGCCUGCAGUCCCAGCACUCGACAUUCCGGAGGUGGGAAGAACCCAGCACGAAGCACGGAACAUACGCCCGCCUUGGGGAAAGACGCGAGGAUAUGGAAAAUUUCAAUCAAAUGAUGCCGUGGAACAGCGUCGGCACACACUGCUUGGGGUCCUUGGGCAUCUGCAGGAUCCCGACGCCUUGACACCAACUUCCAUGGAGUUGUUGCCAUCAGCCUUCUGUAGGAGCAGCGUCCGUGGGUGGAAGGAACAUGCCAGAUCUCAGAGAACUAUUCGAUGCCUGUUGACUCAGGCAGCAGGACCAGCUGCAUCCACGCAUUCUUCCGGUUAGGAAUGCUCUCCCGGAAUCCCUGCUGCCAGCUGCUACCCUGAGUGCGAUUCUCUGGGACCUCACUGUUGCAGCUCCUUCUCUGCUGGACAGCUCCACAUCCCCACAAGUGCUUGUCCGCCCACCUCUCCCCCUCUGUUUAGCUCUCAGAGCUGGUGCUCUCACAGAGAGAGGCCUCUCAUUCCACACCAAGUGAGGAUGGCGGCCAGUAGAGACUGUCACCCUCCCAGGAUGAUGGAUCGUAAGAAGGACGAGCAGAGUUCAGAGCACAGAAUCUGAAGAUGAAGACGAGAGGUCCAUCAACUCAAGUCCUUUUUCAUGGGCAUGUGCCCUUCAGAGCCAUACCUGGAAGUCAUGCGGCCUGACUCUGAGACUUUUCCCAUGGCAAAAACUCAUCCUAUUUCUUACCCUCACUUUAUUUAGGUGGACCACUAGAGCACACAUGGCAUUAUAAAUACAGUGAGAAAAGCAGGAGGAGGAAGAGGAAGAGGAUCCUGCUACUACAUAGUCUCAAGGAAGUAUACCCCUUAGGGUCCCUGGGGAGAGCAGGGAAGCUGAGUCAUAUGGCUAAAGGAUACUUAGAUUUGAUUGGUUCAAGUUGCCUACUUACCACACCGUGUGGGCAAAACAGUGAGAUGUUCCCAGAAGCCUGAGUGUCUGAGCAUCAUCCGAAUGUCUUCUUAUCUUACCCGCUAACACACCUUGCAACACAAGAAAUUAUGAGAUUAUUUCACGCAGGGACCCUGACUUGAGUGACAGUCCAAGGUUUGCAAGUACUACUUAAGCUGAGCCCUGAGUCCCCAAGUUUCUAAAUACUCUGUAUUGUGCGCCUCCUUUUAGAAGGCUGUGGAGAGUGCAGCAGUGUUUUGAACCGACUAGUGACGACAACACCAGGAAUGCAGCUAGCAGAGGAGAAGCUCCGCAGAGGUCAAGGGCCAGGAGAAAGCAGCCAGCUAGCCAGUCCUUUCCCUGUGGAUACAUGAGAGAUUCCUGUCAGAUGACUCACGGCAGUGGAAGUGGCGAUGAGUUUUUGAGAAGCAAAUUUGGGCGAUGAGUUAGGAGAGGCAAGAAGCUUGAACUGAGAUGUUGGCUAAAUAAGUAGAAUUGAGAGGAUUUUUAGAUGAUUGUUAUUUAAUGACUUGUAAAGACAUUCAUAUGCUGAAUUUCACAGAGAGAAUGCGAAACUAUGUUGUAUUCCAUCACCUAAAGAUAACUUUUUUUUUUUGUGAAUGCUAGAAGAACAUUGUAGAAAUUCAGAUGUAGAAAUAAAAGCUUAUUGAUUUGGUU